UACAGAGGUGGCAAGCGUUGUUCGGAAUUACUGGGCGUAAAGGGCGCGUAGGCCGUCUUGCAAGUCCUGUGUGAAAUCCCUCGGCUCAACUGAGGAACUGCACAGGAAACUGCUUGGCUUGAGUUCGGGAGAGGGAAGCGGAAUUCCGGGUGUAGCGGUGAAAUGCGUAGAUAUCCGGAGGAACACCGGUGGCGAAGGCGGCUUCCUGGACCGACACUGACGCUGAGGCGCGAAAGCGUGGGGAGCGAACAGG
rnacentral:rRNA from 1 species